GGAAGGAGGACUCGCCUCAGGGCUUCGCCAGGCCACGAGCCGUCCCUCUUCGCGGACGUGGCGGCGGAGCCGGGUGGCGCGAGGUGGAACACCGGGCCAGGGGACGCGCUCAGGCCGCCGCCGAAGAAGCUGCUUGCGAAGAAUGGCGUUGCUGAAAUGGACCUGCAAAAGAUCGAAUUCUCCCCACUCUCCAAAUUAUAGAAUGGAACUAGGAAAGUAAACCUCCCCAAAGGGUUUUAAUAUGGCUAAUUUUUGAGAGCCCUAGAGUGAAGUCUGCAUCAAAGAAAAAUCAGCUGUGUUCAUUCUUAAACGUAGUAGAAAAAUGGAAUAACCAAAUUACUAAAAUAUCACUGUUGACUGCGCGUAAGCGAAACCUUAGAUAAGAGGAUACGACUGGAAUGCUUACCUUAAGGAUGUUUGUGAGGAUUUAAUGAGAUGAUGUGUGCCAAGAAGAGUGUCUGGAAAGUAAUAGUGCUCAGUAAUUGUUAGCUCCUUUCUCCCUCUAGAAGUUUUAUGUAUAAAGUAGCUUUUAAAUCUUUAGAUCCUAGAAGGUUUGAGGUUACAGAGAAAGCUAGUCUGCUGAACUGGCAUCUGAAAGAUUUACUAGAGUCCAUGUACUUGGUUUGUUUAUAAACAUUAAGAGGUAUUUUUUGAGAUAGACUGGUAUAGUUCAGUGGUUUUCAACUUUCAAGCAUCUGAAGUCCUUGUUAAAAAUGCAAAUUUCUGGAACCCAUUCCCGGAAGUUCCAAAUUGACCUGGAGUAGAACCAACCCAGGAAUUUGCAGUUUUGACAGGUAACCCAAGUUAUUUUGAUGCAGUCAGCCCAAAGACCACAGUUUGAAAAACUCUGGUAUAAUUCAAAGACUACUAAUUCUAGUUCCACCUCUGUUUCUGACUUGGAAAAGUCCUUUAGCUUCUCUGGAUUUCUAGUACCUCUCCUACAAAACAGAUGAAUUGUCCUGGCUUAUUUCACAUGUGAGUGGUGAGAUUCUAAUCUUUUCAUCCUCCUGCACACGUACCGUGCAGUAUUUUCUUCUCUGAAAAAAAAAAAAAAAAAUUUAAACCUUUCUGCAAGGCAAUGUGCUCUGUGAUCUGGCCCUUAUCUGUCUUUCUAGCUUCAUUGCUUGGUAUCCUAAAAUCAUUCUCCAAACUUCCAUAUCUUUACACAUUUAUUUCCUCCGUCUUGAAAGCCAUUCUCUUUUUGUCCAUCUGGUGAAUGCCUACCUAAUCCUGAAACUCAGUGCAAGCAUCACCUCUAUAAAAACCUUCCUGAUACUUGUAUUUGAAUGUAAAUUUAGUCUCUGCAACAGAGACACAAAAUAACCACUGGCUUCGAUAAUACAGAACUUUAUUUCUCACAUAAAGUCCUGUUGGCAUAGUGGCUCUCCUCUACAAAGUCAUCAGGCACCCAGACUUAUUUUAAACUGCAUCUGAGGGCUUUGCCCUUGUUUGCAUAGUUCAAGAUGGCUUACCAUCAUGUCCAGCCAGUGGUUAGGUAAAUAAAGAGGGAAGGGAGGGCAUGCCGAUUCUUUUCAAGGACAUGACAUGAAAGGAGCACACAUCACUUUUGCUGACAUUCCACUAGCCAGAACUUAGUUAUGUGGCAUACCUAAUAAAGAAGUUGGUAAUUGUAUCCAGCUAAAACUUACGGAACUAUUACUAUAAAAGAAGGGGAGACUGGGUUUUGGGGAGCAAUUAGCAGUCUCUGCUACAAAUAUCUACUCCCGACCUCUUUACCAACUAAUACAUACAUGCAUUCAUUAUUUAAACAAGAAUAUGUUAAAUGCUCAGCCUUGGUAGUAAAAAAUGAAUGUAUAGAAAUUAUCAGGGACCUUACUCUCAAUA